rnacentral:rRNA from 1 species
AGAGUUUGAUCCUGGCUCAGGAUGAACGCUAGCUACAGGCUUAACACAUGCAAGUCGAGGGGCAUCAGGAAGAAAGCUUGCUUUCUUUGCUGGCGACCGGCGCACGGGUGAGUAACACGUAUCCAACCUGCCCUUUACUCGGGGAUAGCCUUUCGAAAGAAAGAUUAAUACCCGAUAGCAUAAUGAUUCCGCAUGGUUUCAUUAUUAAAGGAUUCCGGUAAAGGAUGGGGAUGCGUUCCAUUAGGUUGUUGGUGAGGUAACGGCUCACCAAGCCUUCGAUGGAUAGGGGUUCUGAGAGGAAGGUCCCCCACAUUGGAACUGAGACACGGUCCAAACUCCUACGGGAGGCAGCAGUGAGGAAUAUUGGUCAAUGGGCGAGAGCCUGAACCAGCCAAGUAGCGUGAAGGAUGACUGCCCUAUGGGUUGUAAACUUCUUUUAUAUGGGAAUAAAGUGUUCCACGUGUGGAAUUUUGUAUGUACCAUAUGAAUAAGGAUCGGCUAACUCCGUGCCAGCAGCCGCGGUAAUACGGAGGAUCCGAGCGUUAUCCGGAUUUAUUGGGUUUAAAGGGAGCGUAGGUGGACUGGUAAGUCAGUUGUGAAAGUUUGCGGCUCAACCGUAAAAUUGCAGUUGAUACUGUCAGUCUUGAGUACAGUAGAGGUGGGCGGAAUUCGUGGUGUAGCGGUGAAAUGCUUAGAUAUCACGAAGAACUCCGAUUGCGAAGGCAGCUCACUGGACUGCAACUGACACUGAUGCUCGAAAGUGUGGGUAUCAAACAGGAUUAGAUACCCUGGUAGUCCACACAGUAAACGAUGAAUACUCGCUGUUUGCGAUAUACAGUAAGCGGCCAAGCGAAAGCAUUAAGUAUUCCACCUGGGGAGUACGCCGGCAACGGUGAAACUCAAAGGAAUUGACGGGGGCCCGCACAAGCGGAGGAACAUGUGGUUUAAUUCGAUGAUACGCGAGGAACCUUACCCGGGCUUAAAUUGCAGACGAAUUACGAGGAAACUUGUAAGCCGCAAGGCGUCUGUGAAGGUGCUGCAUGGUUGUCGUCAGCUCGUGCCGUGAGGUGUCGGCUUAAGUGCCAUAACGAGCGCAACCCUCGUGGUCAGUUACUAACAGGUUAAGCUGAGGACUCUGGCCAGACUGCCAUCGUAAGAUGUGAGGAAGGUGGGGAUGACGUCAAAUCAGCACGGCCCUUACGUCCGGGGCUACACA